rnacentral:rRNA from 1 species
CUGGCGGUAUGCUUAACACAUGCAAGUCGAACGAAAGUUUUUUAAACUUUAGUGGCGAACGGGUGCGUAAUACGUGAGAAUCUGCCCUUAGGAGGGGAAUAACUUCUGGAAACGGUUGCUAAGUCCCCAUAUGCCGAGAGGUGAAAUAGUUAACACUGCCUAGGGAUGAGCUCACGCCUGAUUAGCUUGUUGGUGAGGUAAUGGCUUACCAAGGCCACGAUCAGUAGCUGGUUUGAGAGAACGAUCAGCCACACUGGGACUGAGACACGGCCCAGACUCCUCCGGGAGGCAGCAGUGAGGAAUUUUCCGCAAUGGGCGAAAGCCUGUCGGAGCAAUACCGCGUGAGGGAUGAAGGAUUUUGGUCUGUAAACCUCUUUUCUCAAGAAAGAAGUUCUGACGGUACUUGAGGAAUAAGCAUCGGCUAACUCCGUGCCAGCAGCCGCGGUAAUACGGGGGAUGCAAGCGUUAUCCGGAAUCAUUGGGCGUAAAGCGCCUGUAGGUUGUUUAAUAAGUCUGUUGUUAAAGACUAGGGCUUAACCCUAGGAAAGCAAUGGAAACUAC